rnacentral:sRNA from 1 species
AUUGUCACUUGGUGAUUUACUGGCUCUGUCAUGAUUUAGACAUUGAACUUCUGACUCCAAGUCCAGUGUUGGUUUGCUACAGUUGUUUCAUCAAGAUGGGAAAGCUAUGGAUCAGAAAAGGCAAAUAACUUGUCCAAAGUCAUGUAAAUAUGAAUAAUGAAGCUCAGGUUUCAACUUAAGCAUCCUGCCUCCAGAUUCCAUGCCCUUAACUCCUAUACCAGAUGGAGUGGAUGUUGAAGAUGAUCCGACUUGCUCUUGGCCAGCUUCCUCACCUUCUAGCAAGGAUCAGACUUCUCCUAGCCAUGGAGAAGGUUGCGAUUUUGGAGAGGAAGAAGGUGGCCCUGGGCUUCCAUACCCAUGUCAAUUCUGUGACAAGUCGUUUAGCCGCCUCAGCUACCUAAAGCACCAUGAGCAGAGUCACAGCGACAAACUGCCUUUCAAAUGCACCUACUGCAGUAGGCUGUUCAAACACAAGCGCAGCCGAGAUCGCCACAUAAAACUCCACACCGGGGACAAGAAGUACCACUGCAG